CCUACGGGCGGCAGCAGUGAGGAAUAUUGGUCAAUGGCCGAGAGCCUGAACCAGCCAAGUCGCGUGAGGGAAGACGGCCCUACGGAUUGUAAACCUCUUUUGUCGGGGAGCAAAGCGAACCACGUGUGGCUCACUGAGAGUACCCGAAGAAAAAGCAUCGGCUAACUCCGUGCCAGCAGCCGCGGUAAUACGGAGGAUGCGAGCGUUAUCCGGAUUUAUUGGGUUUAAAGGGUGCGCAGGCGGAGGAGCAAGUCAGCGGUAAAAUUGCGGGGCUCAACCCCGUCGAGCCGUUGAAACUGGUGUACUGGAGUGGGCGAGAGGUAUGCGGAAUGCGUGGUGUAGCGGUGAAAUGCAUAGAUAUCACGCAGAACUCCGAUUGCGAAGGCAGCAUACCGGCGCGCAACUGACGCUCAUGCACGAAAGCGUGGGUAUCGAACAGGAUUAGAUACCCGAGUAGUC
rnacentral:rRNA from 1 species